rnacentral:rRNA from 1 species
CAUGUAGGGCGCGAGCGUUGUCCGGAAUUACUGGGCGUAAAGGGCUCGUAGGCGGCCAACUAAGUCAUACGUGAAAUCCCUCGGCUUAACCGGGGAACUGCGUCUGAUACUGGAUGGCUUGAGUGUGGGAGAGGGAUGCGGAAUUCCAGGUGUAGCGGUGAAAUGCGUAGAUAUCUGGAGGAACACCGGUGGCGAAGGCGGCAUCCUGGACCAUUACUGACGCUGAGUGAGCGAAAGCCAGGGGAGCAAACGGG